rnacentral:lncRNA from 1 species
CUCUGAUUGUAUUUUGUUGAGAAUCACCUCCAGGCUUGUUGGAUGGGAUUCAUUUGCGUGUAAGCCAUCUCUUGGAUCUUUUUGUUAAGAAUCACCUCCAGGCUUGUUGGAUGGGAUUCUUUUUCUUUGUACGUUGUUUAUUCAGAUAUUCUGUUGACAUUGGUUGUAUGCCUUUUUACCCUUAUGUAUAUAUAAGGAUGUCAGCAUUUCCUUGUAUCUGUUUGUUCUCUUGUUGCUGCAGGUUGCCAUCUUUUCAGGAUGGGUCAGGCUCUUUGAAUGCCUGAGAAAU